rnacentral:tRNA from 1 species
ACCUUCGUGGUGUAAUGGUAGCAUGCUCGGCGCGUAUUCGAAAGGUCUAGGUUCGAGUCCCGGUGAGGGCA